UCCAUUUUUCUUCUUAUAACAAAUAUUCAAGAUUACAGGGCAAAUUUAAAGAUUGUCAGUGAAAAACCUGAUAUUAAAAUCACUCUUGCUAAAGAUGACAUUCUGUCCCUCUGUGCAUAGACUAUAGUCUGUUUCAACAGCAGAUAAAGUGUAAAAUUAAUGUGCAGUGAAAAUGAGCUCUACAUGAAACAAGUUACUUAUAAAUGUUGCUAUAAGAGAAGAAAAACCAUUGAUUUCUGUCCUGAAACAUGUUCACAGCUCCUUCAUGCUCAACACAGGGACAGACCCUUGUAGUCUUCAAUAAGAGAUCCAGGCUUUGAUGCUGAAUAUAACCUGCAGUGUUUCUCUAUCAAUCUCUUUAAGUUUAGUGUGACUUUAUCUCCACGCUGACAUAUGACUGACACGAGUCUGUCCUCAGUGAAGUGUCUCUUCACGCUGGAGGAGGAGUCCCGCUCAUCAGCGCUCACACUUUAUUGAUAUAUAUGGAGAAAAUAAAAAUGCUGCUUUCUGAUUUGUCACUGAUUGUGUUUGAUGAUUUCCUCUGUUGUGUCUAAUAAGGUAACAGUGAGUGUCAUUGUCAGCUGUGAGAGUCUCUCUCUCUUUAGGGGACUGACAGGAGCCAGUUUCUUCAGUGUGUUUGAGGGAGCAGAAGGAGAAACUUUGGUAGUGAAUUUAUUAGUCUUUUAUGCAAACAAAGGGGGAUGGAGAGCUGUCUGACACUUAUUUUACUGUCUUCAGUGGUUACUCUUAUUACAGCUAGGGCAGAUCGUGUGAAUGUGAGGCUUGUGAAUGUGACAGUCGCUGUGCUGGUCGAGUGGAGGUUCUUCAUGAUGGUCAGUGGGGAACAGUGUGUCAUUAUA